rnacentral:rRNA from 1 species
AUACGUAGGUGGCAAGCGUUGUCCGGAAUUACUGGGUGUAAAGGGAGCGCAGGCGGGCGUGCAAGUCAGCUGUGAAAUCCAUGGGCUUAACCCGUGGGCUGCAGUUGAAACUGUAUGUCUUGAGUGAAGUAGAGGUAGGCGGAAUUCCGAGUGUAGCGGUAAAAUGCGUAGAUAUUCGGAGGAACACCGGUGGCGAAGGCGGCCUACUGGGCUUUAACUGACGCUGAGGCUCGAAAGUGUGGGGAGCAAACAGGAUUAGAUACCCUGGUAGUCCACACUGUAAACGAUGAUUGCUAGGUGUGGGGGGUCUGACCCCUUCCGUGCCGCAGUUAACGCAAUAAGUGUUCCGCCUGGGGAGUACGGCCGCAAGGUUGAA